CGGGGCGUAGCGCAGUUUGGUAGCGCGUUCGGUUCGGGUCCGACAGGUCCCCAGUUCAAAUCUGGGCGCCCUGA
rnacentral:tRNA from 1 species